rnacentral:lncRNA from 1 species
CUACUCCAGAUUCAUCUUUAAUUGAUGCUCUCAAGGAAGAUCAGCCGGAUUCUGCUCCAGGUUCAUCUUUGAUUGAUGCUCUCAAGGAAGAUCACCUGGGUUCUGCUCCAGGUUCUUCUUCCAUUGAUGCUCUCAAGGAAGAUCACCUGGGUUCUGCUCCAGGUUCUUCUUCCAUUGAUGCUCUCAAGGAAGAUCACCUGGGUUCUGCCCCAGGUUCAUCUUUAAUUGAUGCUCUCAAGGAAGAUCAUUUUGCCUUUGCUCCAGGCUCGUUUUUAAUUGAUGCCCUCAAGGAAGACGAGUUGGGUUCUGCCCCGGGUUUGUCUUGGAGAAGGUUAGAGGAAGAUUA